GAUGAACGCUGGCGGCGUGCCUAAUACAUGCAAGUCGAGCGGACAGACGCUGCGCUUGCUCCUCUCACGUUGGCGACGGGCGGGUAAGUAACACGUGGAUAACCUCCUUCUAUGACUUGGAUAACUUCGAGAAACCGGAGUUCAUACCGGGUCAUUUAUUUAACCGCAUGGUUCAAUAGAUUAGUACCGGUUUGCUGUCACCUCUCGGUCUAUCCGCGCCUCCUUAGCUUGUUGGUAAGGUAACGGCUUACCAAGUCGCCGACGCGUAGCAGACCUGAGAGGGUGAUCGGCCGGACUGGAACGGAGACACGGUCCAGACUCCUACGGGAGGCAGCAGUAGGGAAGCGUCCGCAAUGGGCGAAAGCCUGACGGAGCAACGCCGCGUGAGUGAUGAAGGUCUGCGGAUGGUAAAACUCUGUUAGUAGGGAAGAACAAAUGUGUAAGAAACUAUGCACGUCUUGACGGUACCGAAACAGAAAGCCACGGCUAACUACGUG
rnacentral:rRNA from 1 species